rnacentral:rRNA from 1 species
UGCGUAGGUGGCGGGGUAAGUCAGGUGUGAAAUCUCGGAGCUCAACUCCGAAACUGCACUUGAUACUGCCUUGCUCGAGUACUGGAGAGGAGAUUGGAAUUUACGGUGUAGCAGUGAAAUGCGUAGAUAUCGUAAGGAAGACCAGUGGCGAAGGCGAAUCUCUGGACAGUUACUGACACUGAGGCACGAAGGCCAGGGGAGCAAACA